rnacentral:rRNA from 1 species
UAGGGAAUUUUGCGCAAUGGGCGAAAGCCUGACGCAGCAACACCGCGUGGAGGAUGACGGUUUUCGGACUGUAAACUCCUUUCGGCAGGGAAGAAGUUCUGACGGUACCUGCAGAAGAAGCACCGGCUAACUACGUGCCAGCAGCCGCGGUAAUACGUAGGGUGCAAGCGUUGUCCGGAAUUAUUGGGCGUAAAGAGUUCGUAGGCGGUUAUUUAAGUCUGGCGUAAAAGUCCGAAGCUCAACUUCGGGUUUGCGUCGGAUACUGGAUGGCUGGAGCAUCAUAGAGGUAAGGGGAAUUCCUGGUGUAGCGGUGAAAUGCGUAGAUAUCAGGAGGAACACCCGUGGCGAAAGCGCCUUACUGGAUGAUUGCUGACGCUGAGGAACGAAAGCCUGGGUAGCG